rnacentral:rRNA from 1 species
AUUGAACUCUGGCGGCAGGCCUAACACAUGCAAGUCGAGCGAGCGGCGGACGGGUGAGUAAUGUAUGGGGAUCUGCCCGAUAGAGGGGGAUAACUACUGGAAACGGUAGCUACUACCGCAUACUAUCGGAUGUACCCAUAUGGGAUUAGCUAUUAGGUGUGGUAAAGGCUCACCUAGGCGACGAUCCCUAGCUGGUCUGAGAGGAUGAACAGCAACACGGGAACUGAGAAACGGUCCAGACUCCUACGGGAGGCAGCAGUGGGGAAUAUUGCACAAUGGGCGCAAGCCUGAUGCAGCCAUGCCGCGUGUAUGAAGAAGGCCUUCGGGUUGUAAAGUACUUUCAGCGGGGAGGCGUUACUCGCAGAAGAAGCACCGGCUAACUCCGUGCCAGCAGCCGCGGUAAUAC